GCUUGAGGCCAGGAGUUUGAGACCAGCCUGGUAAACACAGCAGACCCCAUCUCUCUAAAAAAAAAAAAAAAAAAAGAAAAACAUACGGUUUAUGAACCAGCAGCAUCUGCAUUAACCAGCUUAUUGAAAUGCAGAAUCACAGGCCCCACAACAGACUUCCUAAAUCAUAAUCUGCAACUUAACAAGUUCCCUAGGUGAUAUGUAUGCACACUUAUGUUUGAAAAGCACUAAGAUUUCUUGAUGAAGGAGGACUUGAAAGGCAAUGAUGGAUGUGAAAGGAAAGGUAAAGAGAAGCCUCAGGUAGUCACCCAAGGGACAGGGCCGGUUGGAGAGAGAGUCCCGAGGUUUUAUCCUGGAGAACACCCUGUACUGAAUGAGCUCUGAACAUAAAGAUAGUUAGCAUAGGAGGGCCUGAAGUCUCCAGAUAAAAGGCUGCUGCCACUAUCAUUUACCACGACCUCUGCCAUUCUCCACUCUAUUGUCAUCCGCCCCCAGUCUCCAUUCCAGGACUUCUCUACACUUUGACUUUUUGUUUGUUUGUUUGUUUGUUUGAGACGGAGUCUUG
rnacentral:lncRNA from 1 species